CCUACGGGGGGCUGCAGUGAGGAAUAUUGGUCAAUGGACGAGAGUCUGAACCAGCCAAGUAGCGUGAAGGAUGACUGCCCUAUGGGUUGUAAACUUCUUUUAUAUGGGAAUAAAAUGUUCCACGUGUGGGAUUUUGUAUGUACCAUAUGAAUAAGGAUCGGCUAACUCCGUGCCAGCAGCCGCGGUAAUACGGAGGAUCCGAGCGUUAUCCGGAUUUAUUGGGUUUAAAGGGAGCGUAGGUGGAUUGUUAAGUCAGUUGUGAAAGUUUGCGGCUCAACCGUAAAAUUGCAGUUGAAACUGGCAGUCUGGAGUACAGUAGAGGUGGGCGGAAUUCGUGGUGUAGCGGUGAAAUGCUUAGAGAUCACGAAGAACUCCGAUUGCGAAGGCAGCUCACUGGACUGCAACGGACACUGAGGCUCGAAAGUGUGGGUAUCAAACAGGAUUAGAUACCCCAGUAGUC
rnacentral:rRNA from 1 species